CAUCCAUACAGGCCUCUCUGUUCCUACAGUGACUGAAAGACUUGAUGCUGAUUCCUUGGAUGAACUUCCAAGCUUUGAGCCUAGACUUACUGGGAAUACCAGUUAGAAUGUAUAUGUACUACCUGGUCCCUCAAGGAACCUACACACUAAUGAAAGAAAUUCCAGGUGAUCUGGAAUAUUUCCGGAUUUUCUUCUAAUGUGUGCAGAGUGUGGCUGCAUUCAGAUUAACAGUGCACAUCAGCACAAAAGAGAUCUCCUGUAUCACGAAGGUCAAAGGAUCUAAAACCUGGUGUAUCUAAACAGUGAGUUGUCUCUAGAAUGUGCUGUCUGUAAUGUGCCUGCUUAGCAACAAAGAUCAGGCUAUUCAUUCAUCCAUCCCUCAUAGCCCACCCAGGUGAGGCAUCAUGUUCUCAUGGAAUUAAAUGCCAGGUAGGCCCAGUCCUUUUAAUGUGCUAAGGAUGGAACUGUUCAGAUUGGGUUUGCCUGUGUUUUUGCAUCCCUGCAGAGAUGUUUAAUUGGAGCAGUGAUGGGGCUCUGUUCUCAUGUUGCUGCUAUGGUGCUGUUAGGCAGGCAGCUGCCUUUUCAGCCCAGCACAGUGAAGUUGGUUGCCUUGCUAAAUGAUGUUUCCUGACAUCUGUAGAGUGGCCACCGAAGUUGAGCCUUAACCCUCUCAGCUGUUCUACAACUGCAGAGGCAUCCUGGAGCAGUGCUGUGGAUGCCAGAGCAGUGCUGCAGUUUCCCUGCCAGAGCAGCUCUGCAGUUUCCCUGCCUUGAGAACAUCAACUCCCAUUCCAGGCCCAUGGGCAUUCCUCCACUGCUGUGACACUCAUUGCCUCUCUGAAGCGUUCAAGUCAAGGAGGUUAUGUCACCAUUUUGUGUUUGCCUGGGAUGUUGAGUACUCCUACCUUGCUUUCAGGUUCAUGCAAAGAGCCAUAAACUCCUGGUGCCCCUUCAUCUCCUCCCCAUAUCUUUUGCUUGUAUUAACUUUAUUGUUUGCCUUGUGUAUUUGACUCUCUGUUUAUUUUCUAUGGACUCAGAGGUUUAUGAGAUAUUUAUUCUGCCCAAACUCUCUCUCUCUUUGUAUUUUAGAUUCUGUAUUAUGUUAGCCUCUUCAGGAGCCUAAGCAGCUGGCUUAUAUUUCAGCUCUGAACAAACAUGUGCUGAAGGUUAAUUCUAGGGGUUUUUUUUCUGGGAGUUUCUCUCUGAAUGCUUCAGAUACCACCCAUAGACUGUAAAUCACUGGAAUCCCAGCCCCCUCCCCCUGGCCCCCACAUUCAGAUUGAUCCAAGGCACAUUAGCAAAUACUUUCUAACACUUUUUGUGUUUUGGUAGCACGUACAGAUUUGUGUCUUUUUACUCUCAUUCGAAUUUCUUUACCACUUUUGUCUAAACAAAACAAACAAUAUUGAAAACAGCAUUUCAGAAUCUAAUAUUGCAAGGACCAAAGCUAUCUUCCAACCACCUUCUUUUUCUCCUGGCACACAUUGUUUACAGCUCCAGAGUCUACUUAAAGCAAACUUGCUCCAUAGCUGAGAAGUUGGUUGAUGAACAGUCAAGUCAUAUUUACAAGAAAGCUGCUUAACGACAGUCCCAAGCAAAGGAGGAGAAAAAUCUCUUUCCUGAUUACCAUGAGUUUAACUCUUGUAUUGUAACCUCAUGAAUUCUGUUAUUCCCAUCCCUCAGCAACUUACACUUCAGACAGCAGAUGAAUGGUGGAGCUUUGUUGAUGGUUGUACUCGUUGCUAGGGGACAGUCUGAGGGGGGUGAAUCAUGCCAUUUACAGUCAGCCUAAAGGAACAUUUGGAAAUGCUUGAGCUUAGAAAGUUCCCUCUGUAGUCUGUCGUUGGAAAUCGAGUGCUUUGUCGCUGUGAAAACUGCUUUAGAAAUAGACAUGAUGGUAAUGAAAGCAUUAAACACACUGGUGUCUUUAGUAGCUUGUACCUAUGUAGGUGUCUUAAAUCACAGUUCUGGUGCUUUUUAAUUGUUUGAUAAUUAUGUUCUUAGUUAAAAGCUGACCAUGUGAAAUGGUAUCAAAUCAAAAUUAUUGCAAGUCCCAUUAAACUUAAAUACUACAAAUUUUCAUCAUUGCUCUGCUGUAAGAAGCAGGAUUUCUAAACGCAAUCGCUCGUACAUAUCUGGAUCUGAAGUUUCUUGGAUGUUUCAUUGGUAUUUGUUUUAUUUUAUCUGCUCUGGGAAGGCGGCAGCUUCAGGUACCAUCAGAAAGGAGAACUUGACCUGUGGUAGGUAGGUGAUGUUUUACAAGAUACAUCUUCGGUGGAACACAGGUGGGUGAAUAAAAGCGCUCCCACUAUAAAUGCUAAGGCACAGUUUGGAGAGGACGUGGAGGAAGCACACACCCAGCUGGGGCUGACAGGUAUGACACAGAAUUAUCGAGGGGAAACCCCUCCGCACGCAUUCUGGGGCUCGUAGCCAGGGUAUGUGUUUUGCCAAGGAGGGCAGCCUGCCCUCCGCAACGCCGCGUCCAGGGCUGCUCUCGGCGGAGCUCCGGGCAAGCCUGGGCUUGUCCGUGCCCGGGGCAGCCGCGCUCCGCCGUCCGCGCCGUGCGGCUCGGGGGGCGGAGGAGACUUGCAGCUACUCAGCAUUUCCCAGCGUGCGUCCCCGCGGCCUGCAGCCCUUCGCAACAGCGCAUCCCCUUGCCCCCUGCGUGUUGAAGCAGUUCAUCAGUAUUUUUCGGACUACAUCAGUCUCCCAGCGCAUUUCAAAGCAAGCCAAGCGUUCCUGCCCGCUGCUGCUUUGCUGUCGGCAUCCGACCAGGGCGCGCAACCGCUCCCCGCGCCGCCGGCAGAGGGCGCGCGGCCCCCGCCCGCCGUGGCCGAGCCGGCGGCAUCCGCGUUCCCGAGCCCGUUCCCGAACCCAUCCCCGUCCUGGUGCUGCGGCUGCACCUCCAGCACCCGCCUCCAUACUGCCCGAGGCCAAAUGUUUCCUGUAACACAGGCAGUCUCCUUGAAUAACGCCCGAGCAUUUGGCAGCUAACAACAUCCCCAGGAACGUUUCCUGGAUAAGAAAUUCAGUUUUUAUAACCGUGCUCUAUGAUGCGCCCUCCCUUUCAGUUGUGUUACUACUGGCGACACCUGGAUCGGACUAUGCAGCUGUUGCUUCUUUUCAGGAGUCUGUCCUACAAAUGAGUUGCAUCCAAGUUGUGAAAAGCAUUCUUGCAUCUGUCUUCUGUGAAUAGCUCUAUACAGUUUUCAAAUACUGAGGUGCUUUGCUUUUGAUUCUAUUGAUUAACACUCACAUCUAUUGUAAGCAUUGCAGUAAAUGCUUUGAAAAAUUAUUUAAUGAAAUCUUUCCACAAGACAGGAAAUGAAAAGGCUUCAAGAAAUCAAACUAUGGCAGUCCAUCUCUCUGAAGUGUUGAGAAAGUAUUAACUGAUCUUUUUCUCUCCAUAGCUGUUACACUCCAAAGCAUACUUAUUUCUCCAUCCAACUACAACAGAUGAUUUACUUGCAAAACUUCCUUCUUUUCAGGUCCCAAAACAACUGGACUACAUGACUCACAUAGUAAAGGGUUAAUUUAACCACUUGUGCCCUCCUGGUACAUCCUCUCAAGAAACUGAAACAAGUUUUAAUUAAUAUGAGUGACAGUUUUCAGUCCUUGUCUACAGGACUGCCUAAAAUGAGGAUCUGCAUGAAGCAGACCAUUAAACCCGAUCUUUAGUGGGAGAAACAGGCCUCUACAAUGAACACCAGUGUCUAUCAUUUAGAAAUAGUUUGCUUGCAAGCUUCUCUGGUCCCUCAGGCACAACAACAGAUGUCUCUCCCUCAGCCGAUGCACAAACACACAUGUACCCAACCCCUUACCAAAAAUACAAUAUCGAAGGCAGGUGGUAAUAAUAACCAGAAUUUCAGAUGUCUCAUCUGACUGUGCAAGAUCCAAAAUUUCUUUUGUGAGUUCAGUAUGAUCGAACAAGAAACAGGCAGAAUGCACUAAGAAGUGGCUGAUGCACAGACUGAUAAAUACCAGAGAUAAAGGAUUAUAUCUGUGAAAAGCAGAGCAAAUUGUCAAACAGAAACCCUGACACAACCAAGCCUUGCUGGGUGACACCAUGCAUUACACUGCUCAGCUUCAUGGCUAAACUAUUUCUCUUCAAGUUCUGAGCCUGCGAUAAAUAAAGCAGCAAUCAUCCAGA